UCGAAAUACCACGGCUUAUCAUCAUUGACUUCUUCAACAGCAAACACAUGAGCUGGUCUAUCAAGAUGCAUCACAGUUAAAUUGGGAACUUCAUUCUAGAAUUUCACCAUAAUCAUUGAAGCCAACGUUGCAAGAGCAUCUGCCAUCCGGUUUUCAUCUCGAGGGAUAUGAUAAAACUCAACCUUUGUAAAGAAAGUUGAAAUCCUCCUCGCAUAAUCUCUAUAUGGUACCAAAACGGGUCGAUUCGUC
rnacentral:lncRNA from 1 species